AUGAUGUUCAAUAUUCAAAUAGCAGAGAUUUGCGAAGAAGUAUUGCGCUAUUUACCAGUGAGUGGUAUUAUUGGACUGAUCUUUUGGUGGGAAAUGUUCUUCAUUUUAGAUAACGAAGCCAUUCCAUUACUACCAACCCACAAAAAUACGACCUCUUUGAGAUAUACGGUUUAUGCCAGAAAGGUAUGAAGUUGGACUAAUUUGGAAACAUUGGGCAAUUUACUUUAUACCUACUAUUCCGUUUGGUUUUUGGUUUCCAGGCUGAUUUUAUUAGUUGCUAUGAUUGGGGCUAUAGUACUUACUAUGCAUAGGACUACCAAGGUGAAAAGACAGGAUGUAUUCCAAAGAAAUGCCUUGGAUUCUAGGAGGACGACAGACCAAAUCACGAUCCACUAA
rnacentral:rRNA from 1 species